UUGACCUCGGAUCAGGUAGGGAUACCCGCUGAACUUAAGCAUAUCAAUAAGCGGAGGAAAAGAAACCAACAGGGAUUGCCUCAGUAACGGCGAGUGAAGCGGGU
rnacentral:rRNA from 2 species